rnacentral:rRNA from 1 species
CAGCAGCCGCGGGAAAACGUAGGUGGCAAGCGUUGUCCGGAAUUAUUGGGCGUAAAGGGCUCGCAGGCGGUUUCUUAAGUCUGAUGUGAAAGCCCCCGGCUCAACCGGGGAGGGUCAUUGGAAACUGGGAAACUUGAGUGCAGAAGAGGAGAGUGGAAUUCCACGUGUAGCGGUGAAAUGCGUAGAGAUGUGGAGGAACACCAGUGGCGAAGGCGACUCUCUGGUCUGUAACUGACGCUGAGGAGCGAAAGCGUGGGGAGCGAACAGGAUUAGAUACCCCUGUAGUCCCUGUCUCUUAUAC